UACGAACCGUCCAAACGUUAUUCGGAAUUGUUGGGCUUAAAGGGUGCGUAGGCGGCGUGUUAAGUCGGGUGUGAAAUCCCAGGGCUCAACCCUGGAACUGCGCCCGAUACUGGCAUGCUUGAGGGAGACAGAGGUAAGCGGAACUGAUGGUGGAGCGGUGAAAUGCGUUGAUAUCAUCAGGAACACCAGUGGCGAAAGCGGCUUACUGGGUCUCUUCUGACGCUGAGGCACGAAAGCUAGGGGAGCAAACAGG
rnacentral:misc_RNA from 1 species